GGUGUACGUUGGAGGAGAUUUGAGUGAAGUUAUAAAAAUCCAGAAAGUAUCGGUAGGAGGUACGCAUGGCACCUCCGGGACAGGGGACGUCUCGGGAGAUAGAAA